GUGAGAUCAAUCCUGGAGAGAAACUCGUGUUCCAACCCGCCAACAAGACGUGUGGGGCCGUCAGACGAGAUUUGCAAACAGGAGGAAGAGAUUGUGGAAAAGAUCAUGAAAAACAAGCCAACCAAUUGUGUCGAGCGAGACUGCACGGGUAUGAUGGACGGCAACUACCAGAUCUGCGAGCCCAAGGCCUGUCUGGCUGGGUACUUUGUCAGCUGCAGCAAUGAGCUCCCAUACGGGAUGGAGUGUCCCUUAGGAUCGGAUCAAACUGGAUCCCAGCCAGACCAAAACUAAAAAGUUGAUUUAUGACCCGCUACUGAUACAUGUGAAUAUUCGGAAGAGCCCUGUACCGGAUUGAAGAACAAUACUUCUAACAUCA